rnacentral:rRNA from 1 species
GCCUUUAGCCAUGCAAGACUCAAAGCACCCAGUUUUGCCUUGUCUUGGAAGCUGAACAGUCACAGGCAUGGUGAACAUUUCAAUGCGGAGACCACAUGGGAAUUCAGUGUGUGUAGGCA